CCUACGGGAGACAGCAGUGAGGAAUAUUGGUCAAUGGCCGUAAGGCUGAACCAGCCAAGUCGCGUGAAGGAAGAAGGAUCUAUGGUUUGUAAACUUCGUUUAUAGGGGAAUAAAGGUAGCCACGUGUGGAUAUUUGCAUGUACCCUAUGAAUAAGCAUCGGCUAACUCCGUGCCAGCAGCCGCUGUAAUACGGAGGAUGCGAGCGUUAUCCGGAUUUAUUGGGUUUACAGGGUGCGUAGGUGGUUUUUUAAGUCAGCGGUGAAAGUUUGUGGCUCCACCAUAAAAUUGCCGUUGAAACUGGCAGCCUUGAGUGUGUUUGCGGUAGGCGGACUGCGUUGUGUAGCGG
rnacentral:rRNA from 1 species